AUGAAAAGUAGAUAAGUGAAUAAAGAUGAGAAAAUUCAAAGAAAAAAGAGAGAAAUGAAAAAAAAUAUAUUAUGAGAAGUAUCAUGAAGCACUUAUUUAGAAGUAUUAAGGUUGGCAAAAAGCAUGCUCAAAAGAGCAAUAAAAAGAAGAAAAAAAAAUAUAUGAGCCAAUGAAUCCCAACAAGAACGGUGCCCAAAAGAAAUACCCCCCGGUUAUUAGAUUAAACAACAGUUACGAGGGUAACAACACGAACUCUGAACCUGAACCCCUAGUAUUUCCCUUUUUGUUUUGAUUCCCCAUCUUACACCUUAG
rnacentral:lncRNA from 1 species